UUUUGUGAUUGGAACAACAUAAAAUAUGAUAGAAAAAAUAAUAACGUUGGCAUACAUAGUAGCUUUUACUGAAAGGGCAGACACUCUCACCACUUUAAAGGGAUUAUCUCAUGUACCCAUUUACCCUUCAAGACUAUGAAGCCAUAUAUAUUUUUCAGUUUUCCCCAUUGAACCGGUGAGGAAACGGAUACAAGGAAAGAUUAAGUAUUUUGCCCAAAGUGUUUGACCUGAGUCAGGUAGCAGGGUUUGAUAGCAGCUUCGCCCUCAGGUCCGUGCUUUAACUCACCAUUAAAAUGUAACAAAAUGUUAUCAGUUUUAUAGGUUUGGGGGCUCCUUGGGCUCCCUUAUAUUCUUCCAUAAUUUCCAGUUUCUACAAUAAGCAUGACUUUUAAUCUUAAAAAAUCGUCUUAAUAAUAGUGAUAUAUCGAUAUCGAUAUAGAUAGAUAUAAAGUCUCAGAGUCAACCUGAUUAUCUGUAGUGACACUCAGAGUCUACAUCUGGGGAUUAUUUGCACCCACUAUUUCCAGGUGUCUCUCCCCAGCCGCCUGGGGAGCCCUAGGCCCCCCUUCCGGCUAGUUCACCAGGUCUCCCCGGGAUCCACCCACAGUAUCCGGAUCCCCAUUCUUGAAGCACGCUUUCUCUGUGCGCUUGCGCCGUGGCAGACCGCUCCGGGGUGCAGUUGGCAAACUUCCAGGGGCCGUAGGACCACGGUCUUCGGGACCCUUCCAGAUGUCGUCCCGCGAGGCCCCGCAGACCUCUAGCGGCCGCGAGUACAAGCUUCAGUCGCUGGCGGAGGCCCGGCUCUCACGAGGGAACGCCGCGACCUUCCCGAGAGUGAGGCGCCCGCGGGAAAUCCCCGGGGCUCGCAGGGCGGAGGGAGCAAGAGUGGGCGAACUGUUUGUGCAGAUGUGGAAGCCGAAGUCCUACUUUCGGGGAGCUAGGGUGACGGUCGCCCUUCGGAAAAGCGCCGCGGCCGGUCCGGAGGAGGAACCAAGUUUUCCCGGUCGCUGGGGCAAAUACUAG
rnacentral:lncRNA from 1 species